AUGGAUUCAAUUCCGAAGCCGUAUCGAACAUGGAUUACGGGUGCUGCGGUUGUGUUAGGUGGAAUUGCAACGCUGAACGUGGCUUCUACGCUUACACUCAAAGCGCUUCAUGUUGUGGCUGAGAAUAAACGGAAAAAGAUAGCGUUGCCGUGUAUGGUUUGUAGAGGGAAGGGGUUUUAUAUAUGCAAAUUGUGUAAUGGGAAUUCAACUAUUGCUUGGUCUCCGAUGUAUGAUCCUAUUGCGAUUAACCCAUGUGUUUGUCCUACUUGCGAUGGAAACAGGGUACAACGUUGUCUGAAUUGUCUGGGAAAAGGCUAUGACUAA